GUGCUUGCUUAGGCAGCACAUAUACUAAAAUUGGAACAAUACAGAGAUUAUUAGUAUGGUCCCUGCGCAAGGAUUACUAAUCCUCCUAAACACUCUUUAAUUUA